AGUAGUCACAUACCAAACUACAAAGAAACUUAGGCAAAGACCAAGGAAACAUUCUGUCUCAUUCAAAAAACUCAACAAAAAUGACUUCAAGAUUGCUUCUACUUUUCCCCUUCUUCCUCUUCUGCCUACUUACUCAUGUCUCUUCUGAUAUUGAUAUUGAAGAAAACGAAACUCAGGUGGUGAAAGGAGCUAACAGGAGGCUUUUACUGUAUGUAGAUUGUGGAGGACUGUGCAAAGUGUGAUGUAGCUCACACUCAAGGCCAAAUGUAUGCACCAGAGCCUGUGGGACUUGUUGUGUAAGGUGCAAAUGUGUUCCUCCUGGCACUUCUGGUAAUAGACAAGUGUGCGGCAAAUGCUAUACAGACAUGACUACUCAUGGCAACAGGACCAAAUGCCCUUAAUUAAACGGUGAAAAUUCAUAUAAUCGACCCCAACUUUGUUUGCGACUACGGCAUAGUCGCCACCCAUGUAGGACUUAAUUAGUACUCAAUCUUGUUUUUUCUAUUUUCCAAGUUUGUUUUACUACCGCCCAAAGUGA